rnacentral:rRNA from 1 species
UACGGAGGGAGCAAGCGUUACUCGGAAUUAUUGGGCGUAAAGGGCGCGUAGGCGAUUCGAUAAGUCUCGUGUGAAAUCCCAGGGCCUAACCCUGGAAUGGCAUGGGAUACUGUUGAAUUUGAGUUCCGGAGAGGAAGGCAGAAUUCCCGGUGUAGCGGUGAAAUGCGUAGAUAUCGGGAGGAAUACCAGUGGCGAAGGCGGCCUUCUGGACGGAUACUGACGCUGAGGCGCGAAAGCCAGGGGAGCAAACGGG